rnacentral:rRNA from 1 species
GACGAACGCUGACGGCGUGCUUAACACAUGCAAGUCGAACGGUGAAGCGCCUUCCUUUUUGGUGGGUGUGGAUGAGUGGCGAACGGGUGAGUAACACGUGAGUAACCUGCCCCCUUCUUCUGGAUAACCGCAUGAAAGUGUGGCUAAUACGGGAUAUUCUGGGUCUGUCGCAUGAUGGGUCUGGGAAAGAUAUUGUUUCGGUGGGGGAUGGGCUCGCGGCCUAUCAGCUUGUUGGUGGGGUGAUGGCCUACCACGGCGGUGACGGGGAGCCGGCCUGAGAGGGUGGACGGGCACACUGGGACGGAGACACGGCCCAGACUCCUACGGGAGGCAGCAGUGGGGAAUAUUGCACAAUGGGCGAAAGCCUGAUGCAGCGGCGCCGCGGGAGGGAUGGAGGCCUUCGGGUUGUGAACCUCUUUCGCCAGUGAAGCAGGCCUGCCUCGUUUGUGGGUGGGUUGACGGUAGCUGGAGAAGAAGCGCCGGCUAACUACGUG